UCAAUUAAAGGUAAGCUUUAAUGAUUUGUGAGCUAACGAACUCUAAAUAUUGGAAGUUUUCCCAGGCACAAAAGGAUUCAGGUUCUAAUGCUCCUAAAAGUCUUCGGGAAGCACAGAGCGAAGAAGGUUUUCUGAGGUUGCCCUUACAACAAAACGGACUAGAGACUAAGGCAUGAAGGCAACAAUAAAUUCCAAUAAGAAUUUGGAACAAGAAAUCCAGUAGGAGAAAGGAAACAGCCAAGCCCUCAUCAGAGGUAAACACUUUAAUCUUCUACUCUAUACCUCACACUAAUUUUGUUGCCUUCAGGGCUUUUGGUGUAGGUUGGAAAAGUCAUCAGGUGCAAGAUAUUGGAGCGCCACAACUCAACCAUUCUCCGCAUCCAAGCUGGUACAUUCAUCUGUGAAUUGAAGAAGUGUGUGUCCAAUAAUCUACCCGGAGCGCUACUUUACCCUACUUUACAAGUGAAUUUACGUUUCCGCAUCAUUUCUGACAAAAAUAUGGAAAAGACUAUAGCAUCUUUGCAGUUGCAAAGAAAUUUACAUGAAAAUACGAGCAAAACACGCAGAAACUCAAUGGGAAUGCAUGUUCUAAAGGACAUUUACAUGAAACUGCAUGUGCUCCAAGCUGUCAACACACUUGUUGUUUUGCUCCAAUUCCCGUAGGAAUUUAAUUCCGUUUGCUGCUCGCAGAAUAUUCUAGCAAGAAACCAUAAGAGCCAAAAGCAGCGGCAAAUGCAGCUAAGGUCUUAGUAAGGAGUAAUUUAUUCUAUUCUACAGUCUGCAGUCCGAUUCCC